GAUGAACGCUGGCGGCACGCCUAACACAUGCAAGUCGAACGAAAAUUUAGAUUUUAGAUUUUAGAUGUUAGAAUUUCGAUUUAUUCGAAUCUCUAACAUCUAUCGUCUAGCUUCUACUUUUUAGUGGCGGACGGGUGAGUAACACGUUGGAACCUGCCCCGAAGAGGGGGAUAACCAUCCGAAAGGGUGGCUAAUACCCCAUAUACUCCGAUUUAUUCGGAGGAAAGCUUUCGCGCUUCGGGAGGGGCCUGCGUAACAUUAGCUUGUUGGUGAGGUAAAAGCUCACCAAGGCUACGAUGUUUAGCUGGUUUGAGAGGAUGAUCAGCCACACUGGGACUGAGAUACGGCCCAGACUCCUACGGGAGGCAGCAGUGAGGAAUAUUCCACAAUGGGGGCAACCCUGAUGGAGCGAUGCCGCGUGCAGGAAGACGCUUUUCGGAGUGUAAACUGCUUUUAACAGGGAAGAUUAUGACGGUACCUGUAGAAUAAGGACCGGCUAACUACGUGCCAGCAGCCGCGGUAAUACGUAGGGUCCAAGCGUUAUUCGGAAUUACUGGGCGUAAAGCGUUCGUAGGCGGUUUGAUAAGUUGGAUGUGAAAUCCUGUGGCUCAACCACAUGGACUGUGUCCAAAACUAUCUAACUAGAGCAUAGUAGAGGCAAGUGGAAUUUCUGGUGUAGGAGUGACAUCCGUAGAUAUCAGAAGGAACACCAAUGGCGAAGGCAGCUUGCUGGGCUAUUGCUGACGCUCAGGAACGAAAGCGUGGGGAGCGAACGGGAUUAGAUAUCCCGGUAGUCCACGCCGUAAACGAUGAUCACUAACAGUAUGGAGAUUCGACCCUCUGUGUUGUAAAGCUAACGCGUUAAGUGAUCCGCCUGGGGAGUACGGGCGCAAGCUUAAAACUCAAAGGAAUUGACGGGGACCCGCACAAGCAGUGGAGGAUGUGGUUUAAUUCGACG
rnacentral:rRNA from 1 species